CGACCGGCGCACGGGUNAGUAACACGUAUGCAACCUGGCCGUCACAGGUGGAUAACCGGAAGAAAUUCCGACUAAUACAGCAUAACACUCCUGAGGGGACAUCCCUUGGGAGUCAAAGGAGGCAACUCCGGUGACGGAUGGGCAUGCGGCGCAUUAGGUAGUUGGUAGGGUAACGGCCUACCAAGCCGACGAUGCGUAGGGGUUCUGAGAGGAAGGUCCCCCACAUUGGAACUGAGACACGGUCCAAACUCCUACGGGAGGCAGCAG
rnacentral:rRNA from 1 species